ACGCUCGACACCUACAGGCAGCAGUGGGGAAUAUUGCACAAUGGGGGAAACCCUGAUGCAGCAACGCCGCGUGAAGGAAGACGGUUUUCGGAUUGUAAACUUCUGUUCUUAGUGAAGAUAGUGACGGUAGCUAAGGAGCAAGCCACGGCUAACUACGNGCCAGCAGCGCGGUAAUCUGAGCGGGCUGGCAAGGC
rnacentral:rRNA from 1 species